rnacentral:rRNA from 1 species
UUGUUCGGAUUCAUUGGGCGUAAGGGGCGCGUAGGCGGCCUUCUAAGUCGAACGUGAAAUCCCCGGGCUCAACCCGGGAACUGCGUCCGAUACUGGAAGGCUUGAAUCCGGGAGAGGGAUGCGGAAUUCCAGGUGUAGCGGUGAAAUGCGUAGAUAUCUGGAGGAACACCGGUGGCGAAGGCGGCAUCCUGGACCGGCAUUGACGCUGAGGCGCGAAAGCCAGGGGAGCAAACGGG